UACGGGGGGGUAAGCGUUGUUCGGAUUUACUGGGCGUAAAGGGCGCGUAGGCGGCCACCGCAAGUCGACUGUGAAAUCUCCGGGCUUAACCCGGAAAGGUCAAUCGAUACUGCGGGGCUAGAGUGCAGAAGGGGCAACUGGAAUUCUCGGUGGUAGCGGUGGAAAUGCGUAGAUAAUCGAGAGGAACACCUGCGGCGAAGGCGGGUUGCUGGGCUGAUACUGACGCUGAGGCGCGAAAGCUAGGGGAGCGAACGGG
rnacentral:rRNA from 1 species